rnacentral:rRNA from 1 species
AGUGAACGCCGGCGGUAGGCCUAACACAUGCAAGUCGAACGGCAGCACAGUAAGAGCUUGCUCUUACGGGUGGCGAGUGGCGGACGGGUGAGGAAUACAUCGGAAUCUACUUUUUCGUGGGGGAUAACGUAGGGAAACUUACGCUAAUACCGCAUACGACCUACGGGUGAAAGCAGGGGAUCUUCGGACCUUGCGCGAUUGAAUGAGCCGAUGUCGGAUUAGCUAGUUGGCGGGGUAAAGGCCCACCAAGGCGACGAUCCGUAGCUGGUCUGAGAGGAUGAUCAGCCACACUGGAACUGAUACACGGUCCAGACUCCUACGGGAGGCAGCAGUGGGGAAUAUUGGACAAUGGGCGCAAGCCUGAUCCAGCCAUACCGCGUGGGUGAAGAAGGCCUUCGGGUUGUAAAGCCCUUUUGUUGGGAAAGAAAAGCAUCAGGUUAAUACCCCGCUGUUCUGACGGUACCCAAAGAAUAAGCACCGGCUAACUUCGUG